UACGUAGGGUGCGAGCGUUAAUCGGAAUUACUGGGCGUAAAGCGUGCGCAGGCGGUUUUGUAAGCCAGGUGUGAAAUCCCCGGGCUCAACCUGGGAAUGGCAUUUGGGACUGCAAGGCUGGAGUGCGGCAGAGGAGACUGGAAUUCCUGGUGUAGCAGUGAAAUGCGUAGAUAUCAGGAGGAACACCGAUGGCGAAGGCAGGUCUCUGGGCUGACACUGACGCUCAUGCACGAAAGCGUGGGGAGCGAAACAAGGAUUG
rnacentral:rRNA from 1 species